UGCGCAGCGCGUGCUUGACCACGACCGAUCCGAAGCCCAACCCCUUGAGGCGCGCGGUGCGGAUAUAUUGCUGCGUCAUCACCUCGACCAUCGAGGCGCGCGUCAUGCGGGCGAUGUAGCCGAUGCCGUAGAUGGCGAGCGUCAUCACCGGCAGCGAGAAAUUAUAGAAGGUGAUGC
rnacentral:ncRNA from 1 species